UAAAUGUCCAUCUGUAUUCUGUAAUGAGAGGGGACUUUCCUUUUCUGCAUCUGUCUUAUUACCUAUAGCUCCCUAGCUAUGGAAAUGGCACCCCACCAUAUAAAUGUUUGACGGUUGAGUGAUUGAUCUCGCCCAAGAUCUUUCAUGUAAGCUUCUUCUCUUCAUUAUAAUAUUACUACAUCUUUCCUCAUCACCCAUUUGUAGGGCUGUCGAUCGGUUCGGGUUCGGUUACCCGUACCCAAAUUUUCGAUUACCCGAACCCGAAAUUGCCAAAUUUCAAUAACCGUUCCCGAACCGUUUUAGAAGUUCGGUUACCCGAUACCCGCUUCGGUUAACCAAUUGGGUUAUUUGGGUAUCCGAAAUACCCAUUUAAAAAAUAAAAUUCAAAUAAUUUUUGCUCUAUCUACUAUAAAAGAAAUUACAAAUAUAUAAUAUAUUUGUAAAUAUAUAAUAUAUAUGUAAAUUUACAAAUAUAUUAUAUAAUAUAUAAUAAAUAUAUAUUAUAUUGAUAAUAUAUAUAUUAAAUAAUUAAUAAAAUAAUUUUCGGUUAUUCGGUUAACCCGAUCGGUUUUUCGGGUUAACCGAUAACCGAAAUUUUCAAAAAAACAAUAACCGAAACCGAUCCAUUACCCAAAAUUUUCGGUUAUUGGAUACCCAAACCCGGGAAUUUCGGUUCGGUUAAUUGGAUACCCAAAACCCGAUAACCAUUUAGACAGCCCUACCCAUUUGUAUGUUUCUACUCUCUCAACAACUUCAAAUCUGCUUUCUCUCUCUUCUCGCGUUUCAAAAAUCUGCAUCUCAAACUCCAAAAACAUUUCACUUUCCAUCUAUUUCUUCUAUCGUAUUGCUUGCUUGCUUUUUCUGUAUCUUUCUUCAUUUUGAUCUGCUUUUGACUUGAUCACACAGUUCUAAAAAUAGGGGAAAGCGUGGCCUCGGCUGACUGGGUAUGUUUUUGUAUUUCCUUUUUCUUUGCUUUGCCUUUUAUGUACAGUUCUCUCUCCCUCUCUUGUGCUUGUGUCUGCUGCUGUGGAAUUUGAUUGGAAAUGUAUCUCUCAAGCAUUUUUGGUUAUUUCUCUAAUAGAUGAAAGUGUUGAAGUUUUUUUUUUGGUCAACAGACAAUUGAAUUUGAGUGGAGAGGGGUGGAAAUGCUAAUUUAUUUAUUUUUCUUGAAAAUGUAUUAGAAUACUCUUUUAGCACUUUUUUUGCUUCUAACAUACGAUUCAACGGCGAUGAUAUUAUUCUUAACGAGUGUUCUUAUUGUUAGAAUGUGGUGUUGGAUUUUUAGUUUGAGAUCGAAUUGGUUAAAGGAUCAUUCGAAAUUUUAGUGGAUUGAUAUGUGUUCCAAUUUCUGAGAUCUAUCCUAGCAUUCCUACUAUUUUAUUGAAUGCAUAGCAAGUCAGUGUAAUAUGUUAAUCAUUGAGCGUAUUAAAUGAUCAAACGAAGUGCAAAACUUUGAGUGUUUUGUUCUUGGAGAUGUGUAGUUUUGUGUAAUCUGUUCUUAACUGAUUCGUACUUUCCACGAUGCCAUUUGUGCUCAAAAGUGUUUGCAUUUUAUCCAUCUAAAUUGUGUAGUGCGAGUAUAUUGGAUCUUAGUUCGUUUGAAAUAGUUGCUCUAUGAGAUAUUUGUGUUAAAUCGAUCUAAUGGCUUCUCGUCAUUAACUUGUAGUUGCUUCGUAUGUGUGAAACCAGUUUGACGAACUAUGAUUAAUUUGAUUGCAUUUUGGUCCAAGAAAUCUAUACCAAAUAACCUUUCCCACUAGUUCCGUAUACUAGGAAUGUAGAACAAUGCUAUUCAAAUACAGCAAAGCUUAGCUCGUGUAUCAAUAUCAUGCUUUGAUUUAUGGGACUUAUUUACCUAAGUAGCAAUUUUCACAAAUUAUAGCAUAUGUUCUAUGCUCAGAUUCGUUGCCCACCUAUCCCCAUCUCAACUUCUGUUUACAUCGAUACACAAGAUAAAAUGUUUGCUGUUAUUAUGCUCUUUUUUAUAUAUUACACAUUAUAGGUAGGUAAACUUCGGAGUAUCUGAUCUCUUUGAGAGGUAUAGCAAUUCCUUUUUCUUUUGUUAUGCUCAAAUUCAUUUUUAUCUUGUAUUAUACGCCAUUGUUGGGAUUUUUCAUUUCUUAUGCUAACUUGAUGGUUCUGGUGCCUUUAGCUUUCAACUUUGCUCGAUGUCCAGACUGGAAUCUUGAAAAUGAAAAGUUUACCUGCUACAAUACAUGAGGUGGUAACACAAGAAAGAGUAAUUACAGAUCGGCUUAUCUUCAUCUUAUAUAUGCCAACAAUAUUAUCGAAGAU
rnacentral:lncRNA from 1 species